UUUCUCACUAUCAUCAUCAAGCUCUCAAAUUACUUUACACCUGAAUCCUCUGUUUCCCCCCAGUUUGCCUCUGUUUUUGCUCUAUUCUUCACAUAUCAAUCCAACACACUUUUAGCUUCUGAAUUUAUAAAACUUGGCCGAAAAAAAUGGAAAUUCCUGCCUCUAAAUCCAAGAACAACCCAAAUCAAAGCCUUCCCCCAAAGAGAGGGAAAAUCAAGAAGAAAAUACUAAGUAAAUUCUUCAAAUCAGCUGUUACAGUUGUGUCGAUUGCAGGCCUAUCCGGAAGAAAAAGGAGACAGAAUGAAAGGGCUCUUAGCUCAAAUUCCUCUACUCCGUAAGGAACUCCAAGUGGGUUUACCUCAGAUGACCAUUUUGGUGGAUUAUCUGUUUUGAGUACAUGAAUAUGCAUACUUAAAGAAAUUCAUGACUCUGUUGUGCAUAACUAAAAGUAUUAGUUCAGUUGAUAAAUUUGUGAGGUCAACCCGCUCUGCAGACUGCAG
rnacentral:lncRNA from 1 species